ensembl:snoRNA LOC120100429 small nucleolar RNA SNORA17
CCUGUCCCUCAAUGCUUUGCGGAAGUGGGUCACAUAUGAGCCAGUAGGUGGCAGAGAGGAGAGAAGCUAUGUCUACACUCGGUGUCCUGACCUAUAGACAUCUGAGUGAUUAGUAGCUUAACAUU